rnacentral:lncRNA from 1 species
CCUGGAUUUGGUCUAAAAUUUCAUCUCCUUUUAAAACCUGCUAUUUUCCUUUUUUCUUCAUAUUUUCAUCCAAGAUUUCUUCCUAUCCUUUUUCGCCAUUCAAGGGAGUUUUCCAAUUUUCUGUUCUUAAUUUUAUGCAGAUCAUCUCGCUAACAGGUAUAUUUUUGUUCUCGCUUCCUCUGUCUUUAUCUUUUCCUUAAAAAUUUUUCUUAUGUUUGAUGGGCAUGAAUUCUGACGAGAGUCGUUACAUUUGUGGAGAACGAUUAGGAAGAGUCCAUCCCUUCCAAUGAACAUGGUUCUUCCUCAGGGUUGAAGGCACAUAAAGUCUUUUCUCCAGCUCUGUAGUCCGACUUGGUCGGACUAUAGUGUCCAUAAUAAAGCAUAGUCAUCCUGUCUUACUUGCACAUUUUGGGGAUGAUGCAGCGAUGGUAGGUCUACUUAGAGAUAAAUUUGGGAAUGAUGCAAGGGAUGAAGUGGGCGAUGAGGAUGCAAGCGAGGAUGGGGGUGGGAACACUUACAUAUUAGAUUAUUGUUGUUAUCUAGGCAAUUAGGGAAAUGGCAUACGAUCUACCGUAUACCUACUUCGAUUGAAAUGAUCAUUCGUUUCCCACAUGAUCGAGCUUUUGAGAUCUUCCAAAAUGUUGGGUAGCCUUUAGCUCUCCCUUAUUUUCAGGCAGUCAUAAGCUCUCUUUUCCACACAUUAUUUAUAGAUUUUUAUUUGCCUAGUGUAUGACUUGUACUCAGCUCCACCCAAAUGGAUGGAGGACUAUUUUUGGACGCUUACUGUUAUGACAUAAGUUGGAUUUUCUAGAGCUUACUGUUGAGCAUUUUAAUGCUCUUUACAACUUCAAAGAGGACAAGAAAAAUUCAGGUGGUAUUAUACACUAGUAUAACACCAAACACGAGGGGCUUUUGUGGUUCUAUAUUCCCCUUCUUCAAUCAAGAGAUGGAAAGAAGAGUUCUUCUUUAUCCAAGGUGACUAGCAUUUCCAUCCAUCUAAGGUGACAAGGGAUGAGGUUGUGCCAACCAGUUAUAACGAAGUAAAUAAGCUAGUAAUUAUUUUAUAUUGUCAAAAUGUUUUAAUGAGCGGGUUACAACUAACUUUUCUUUUUGCAGCUUACCUUACAACACAAGAUCACUUUAGAACUGCAGGAAAGGGUGAAUGAGAUUAGAGCCCUUUACCUUAAGCAGCAAUCCUAUUCAUCGCUGAUAAGUGACUCCAGCCUUUUCCAUGCUAGCUUAUUUGUUGCAAAAGCUUCACCUCUUUCUUAGAAGUAAGAUUUCUAAUUUAUGUCUUUUUCUCACAAUUUUUAGUUUUGUUUAAUAAUGUUGUCCUCGAUGGGUAUAGACAUAGAUAUCAAGGGUUUUACAAUAGAUGUGGAUGCCAUUAACAAGUACGUGAAGAUGUGAUGGCUUUACAAAGGACUGCUUAAGAGAAAAAAGCCCCGUAAAGGCAACAUUGAGCCUGAAGGAAACCUUCCUCUUGUUAUAUAAUUUGGCAAUUUCUUUUUGUGAUCUUUUUGGUAAUUUUUGCUUUUUUUGAUGUAGCCUGGGAAUGAUUCUUUUGAAUAAAAUGACUAGUCUUUUUGACCCAUUAUAUGAA